rnacentral:rRNA from 1 species
AUGUGGAGCGUACACAGGUGCUGCAUGGCUGUCGUCAGCUCGUGUCGUGAGAUGUGGGUUAAGUCCCGCAACGAGCGCAACCCUGCAUUCAGUUGCCAACGGUAAGGCCGGGCACUCUGGAUGGACUGCCGGCGACAAGCCGGAGGAAGGUGGGGAGUGACGUCAAGUCAUCAUGGCCCUUAUGUCCAGGGCGACACACGUGCUACAAUGGCCGGCACAGCGGGAAGCGAGGGGGCGACCUUGAGCGGAUCCCUCAAAGCCGGUCUCAGUUCGGAUUGCAGUCUGCAACUCGACUGCAUGAAGUUGGAAUCGCUAGUAAUCGUGGAUCAGCCAAGCCGCGGUGAAUACGUUCCCGGGCCUU